rnacentral:snRNA from 1 species
AGCUUUGCACAGUGGCAGUAACAUAGCCAAUGAGGUUUAUCCGAGGCACAAUUAUUGCUGAUUGAAAACAUUUCCCAAUACCCUGCCAUGAAGACUCCUGUAAUAGUUGGCAUUAUUAUUUUGACAGUCUCUACAGAGA